UAGCCGCAAUUUUGUGCUAAGGUAGCAUAAUAAUUUGUCUUUUAAAUGAAGACUAGAACAAAAGAUUAAACAUUUUAAUUAUUUUAUUGUAUAUUAAAAUUAAAAUUACAUAAAAUGUAAAAAGACAUUUAUACAUAAGAUAGACGAUAAGACCCUAUUAAACUUAACUUUAGUUAAACUGGGGCAGUAAAUUAAUUAGUAUUUUAAUUUUAUUUUUUAGAAAAAAAUCUAAUACCAUUAAAUCAUUAAGUUACUAUAGGGAUAACAGCGCAAUUAUAUUUUAAAGCUCUCAUUCUAAAAAUAGUUUACGACCUCGAUGUUGAAUUAAUUACCUAAUUAUAGAAAAUUAUAAAUAAGGAAGUCUGUUCGACUUUUAAAUAAUUACAUGAUUUGAGUUCAGACCGGUGUAAGCCAGGUCGGUUUCAAUCUUCUAAACAAUUUUUUACAGUACGAAAGGACCUAAAAAUAUUAUUUUAUAUUAGCAAAUAAAUGCAUUAGAAUUAGAAUCUAAUAAAACUAAU
rnacentral:rRNA from 1 species